GAUCCUGGCUCAGGAUGAACGCUGGCGGCGUGCUUAACACAUGCAAGUCGAACGGAGAGCCAAUGAAGGAGGAUUCGUCUAAUUGAGUUGGUUUCUUAGUGGCGGACGGGUGAGUAACGCGUGAGGAACCUGCCUUGGAGUGGGGGAUAACACAGAGAAAUUUGUGCUAAUACCGCAUAAUGCAGUUGAGUCGCAUGGCUCUGACUGCCAAAGAUUUAUCG
rnacentral:rRNA from 1 species